rnacentral:tRNA from 1 species
ACGCGGGUGGAGCAGUCAGGUAGCUCGUAGGACUCAUAACCCGAAGGUCGCGGAUUCGAAUCCUGUCGGACGAG